rnacentral:misc_RNA from 1 species
AAGUGAACCAAAACACUACUGCCAAUCCAAUUGAGUUGGAUGAUUUCCUAGACAAGUUAACUGAAGGAUCACCAUCACCAAGUAAAGCGAAUAGGGCUACAUUACCUACGCCAAAGACGGUGAGAGUUUCUCCCCUGAAGAAGUAUGAAUAUAAAAAGAUCACCACAAGGAGAAAGGUUACGAAAUGGAGUUCGCUGGAAGAAGAAACUUUGAGAGCUGGUGUACAGCAGUAUGGUAUUGGAAACUGGAAGUUCAUCUUAAACACUUAUCCUAACAUAUUUUCAGCGAGGACAGCAGUUGACUUGAAGGACAAGUGGAGAAACUUGAUAUCGUAGGUAUUUAUUUUGAAGAAAUUUCGCUCUUGUAUGAGAGCCUUUUGUUUUCUUAAGCAGAGGUAUGGCCUUGUAUAUUUUUUUGUAUCAUGUAAAUGUCAAGCUUCCUGUGUAUUUU